AAAUCCAGCUUUACUCUUACUGCUGCGGAAAGUGAAACAAGAAACUUAACAUCCUAACAAGACGGUGCAGAUAAUAUAAUAAUCAUAUAAUGCCAUGCCUCAAGACAUUGGGUUCUGUGAACUGGGUGGAGUAACUGGGCUGCUGAUUCUUGAAAGAAAUGUUAGCUGAAUUCACAUAUUGCAGUGAAACAGACAAAACCAGACAACAGACUUUAAACUGGGUUUAAUAACAGAUAAAUGAAACCCACAAUGUUUAAAAAAGAGCAGUUUGUACUUUGAUCAAAAUGCCCAAACCACCACAUAAAAUGCUACAAGAAGAAGGGAUCCGCAUGAAAAGACCAAGACAAGGAAUACAACAGCCAGCACAUCUGAACACGACCACAAACAGACACUCAAACAGGGACAAAUCGUGUCUGCACACCUGCAGCAAACCGUGAACUGAGAAAACAACCAGCGGCCUCCAGCCUUACUUAUGUGAAGUGAUCCCCUGCACCUCGGCCGACAAGGACCCCACGAGUCGGUGUGAUCCCAG